GUGAGUCAUCGAAUCUUUGAACGCACAUUGCACCCUAUGGCAUUCCGUAGGGUAUGCCUGUUCGAGCGUCAUUACAACCUUCAAGCUCCGCUUGGUAUUGGGCGUCACAUUAAAAGUGCGCUUUAAAAUUAGUGGUGGUGCCAUUUGGGUUCCAGCGUAGUAAUUCUCUCGCUGCGGAUGCCUAGGUGUGCCCUUCCAGCAAGUAUUUUUCAAAGGUUGACCUCGAAUCAGGUAGGACUACCCGCUGAACUUAAGCAUAUCAAUAAGCGGAGGA
rnacentral:misc_RNA from 1 species